rnacentral:misc_RNA from 1 species
AGAGAGAGAGUGGUGGGGGGAAGAAAAUUAAAGCUUCCCUUCAACUCUAGUUCAACAGGCUUCUCCUAAGAUGCUAUUUUUCAUCUCCUGAAAUAAUGCCAAUAUAUUUUAGGUGAUGGACCCAAUAUUUCAAGCCCUUUCUGGGGAAAAACUUGAUUAAUAUGGAAUAUAGUUUGGUAGAUAAACUUUGCAAGUAGAUAGUUACAUAUACUAUAAUCAAGGAGGUGUGCCCCAACAGAUAGCCUUACUGUUAAAACUUCGUAGUUUUACUGGAGGUUGCAUGUUUCAACUGUUAGAAUGGUGAUAGGAGCAGUAUAUGGGAUAGGGGAGGGUACCCUUAUUGGGCACAACUGGAUAAAUAAAACUAAAUUGAGAAUAAUUAAAUGAAGAAAUGACUAGGUGCAGUCGAACCUCAUGAUCGGAUGUCAAAGGUAGGUUAUUAUCUUAUUAUUAAAGGUUUUUGUUUUUAGAAUGUUGGAAACAGGUAUAGUUCGGCUUUUAGUUAGCAUUAUGAGUGAAAUUUAUA